rnacentral:rRNA from 1 species
CUGAUCGUACUGCAAACCGACUCAGGUGGACGGGGUGAAUAUCCCAAGGCGCGUGAGAGAACCCUGGUUAAGGAACUCUGCAAAUUGACACCGUAACUUCGGGAGAAGGUGUGCCGCUGGCGGUUAGUGACUUCGCGUCACGAAGCUGUUGGUGGUCGCAGUGAAAUGGCGGUUGUGACUGUUUACUAAAAACACAGGACUCUGCGAAGUCGUAAGACGACGUAUAGGGUCUGAUGCCUGCCCGGUGCUGGAAGGUUAAGGGGAUAUGUCAGCGCAAGCGAAGCAUUGAACCGAAGCCCCAGUAAACGGCGGCCGUAACAAUAACGGUCCUAAGGUGGCGAAAUUCCUUGUCGGGUAAGUUCCGACCUGCACGAGGGCAUAACAACAUCCGCACUGUCUCGACCAGGGACUCAGCGAAAUUACAUUGGGGGUGAAGAUGCCCUCUACCCGCGGAAAGACGGAAAGACCCCAUGAACCUUUACUGCAACUUGGCAGUGAUUUUCGGGUUGUUCUGCGUAGGAUAGGUGGGAGGCUUUGAAGCCGGGCUUCCAGGUUCGGCAGAGCCAACGUUGAAAUACCACCCUGAAUAAUCUGGAAAUCUAACCUGCGCCCAUGAUCUGGGCGAGGGACACUGCCUGGUGGGCAGUUUGACUGGGGCGGUCGCCUCCUAAAUUGUAACGGAGGCGUGCGACGGUUCCCUCAGGCUGAUUGGAAACCAGCCGUAGAGUGCAAACGCAUAAGGGAGCUUUACUGCGAGACUGACAAGUCGACCAGUUGCGAAAGCAGGUGUUAGUGAUCCGGUGGUACCACAUGGAAGGGCCAUCGCUCAUCGGAUAAAAGGUACUCUGGGAUAACAGGCUGAUCGCGCCUGAGAGUUCACAUCGGCGGCGCGGUUUGGCACCUCGAUGUCGGCUCAUCGCAUCCUGGGGCUGGAGCAGGUCUCAAGGGUUUGGCUGUUCGCCAAUUAAAGCGGUACGCGAGCUGGGUUUAAAACGUCGUGAGACAGUUUGGUCCCUAUCUUCCGUGGGCGCAGGACACUUGAGAGGAGCUAUCCAUAGUACGAGAGGACCUGGAUGGACGAACCUCUGGUGCUCCGGUUGUCACGCCAGUGGCAUAGCCGGGUAGCCAUGUUCGGAACAGAUAACCGCUGAAGGCAUAUAAGCGGGAAGCUGGCCUCAAGACUAGGUGUCCCUGACGCAAGUCACUAAAGGCCCCUCGAAGACUACGAGGUUGAUAGGCUCGGUGUGGAAGCGCUGCGAGGCGCGGAGCUAACGAGUACUAAUAGGCCGUGAGGCUUGACCUC